rnacentral:rRNA from 1 species
GAUGAACGCUGGCGGCGUGCUUAACACAUGCAAGUCGAACGGAAAGGCUCCUGCUUGCAGGGGUACUCGAGUGGCGAACGGGUGAGUAACACGUGGGUGAUCUGCCCUGCACUUCGGGAUAAGCCUGGGAAACUGGGUCUAAUACCGGAUAGGACGAUGGUCUGGAUGCCAUUGUGGAAAGUUUUUCGGUGUGGGAUGAGCUCGCGGCCUAUCAGCUUGUUGGUGGGGUAAUGGCCUACCAAGGCGUCGACGGGUAGCCGGCCUGAGAGGGUGUACGGCCACAUUUGGAACGGGAUACGGCCGUGACGACUACGGGGGCAGCAGUGGGGGAUAUUGCACGAUGGGCGCAAGCCUGAUGCAGGGACGCCGGGUGGGGAAUGACGGCCUUCGGGUUGUAAACUCCUUUCGCUAGGGAAGAAGCGCAAGUGACGGGACCUGGAGAAGAAGCACCGGCUAACUACGU